CUGUCCCUGUCUUGCAGGUCGCUGGCCGGCAUGAUGCUGGAGAAGGAGGCCGCCGCCCGCAGCCGUCAGAAUGGCCGAGCCGGACGUGGACUUGAAUCACGUCAUCCCCUCUUGGGUUCUGCCUCCCUUCCGGGCUAGGCUUGUAGUGGGGCUUGUUUCCCUCAUGUGCUUCGCGCGUAGCUACGAUGGGGACUUUGUCUUCGACGACUCGGAAGCUAUUGUGAACAACAAGGACCUCCGAGCAGAAACGCCCCUUGGGGACCUGUGGCACCAUGACUUCUGGGGCAGCAGGCUGAGCAGCAACACCAGCCACAAAUCCUACCGACCUCUCACCGUCCUGACCUUCAGGAUCAACUACUACCUGGCGGGGGGCUUCCACCCCGUCAGCUUCCACGUGGUCAACAUCCUCCUGCACGGCGGGGUCUCGGUCCUCCUGCUGGACGUCUUCUCCGUGCUGUUCGGGGGUCUGCAGUACACCGGCCGCGGCCGGAGGGCGGACCUGGCCCCCCGCGCCUCCCUGCUGGCCACGCUGCUGUUCGCCGCCCACCCGGUGCACACCGAGUGUGUGGCCGGUGUCGUGGGCCGCGCAGAUCUGCUGGGCGCCCUGUUCUUCCUCCUGUCCUUCCGGAGUUACUGCGCCGCUUUCCGGGAAGGUAACAAGGAGGGAAGACACUCCACAUCCUGGGUGUUGCUGAGUAUCCUCCUGGGCGCUGUGGCCAUGCUGUGCAAAGAACAAGGGAUCACCGUGCUGGGUCUGAACGCCAUCUUUGACAUCCUGGUGAUAGGCAAAGUGAACGUCUUGGAAGUGAUCCAGAGGCUGCUACAUAAGGACGCGUCACUAGAGAACAUCGGCGGACUCAGGAACGGGGGCCUUCUCUUCAGAAUGAGCCUCUUGGCCACGGGGGGAGCAGGGGUGCUCUACGGGCGCUGGAAGGUCAUGGGCACCGGGCCACCCACCUUCACCGAGGUGGACAACCCCGCCUCCUUUGCUGACAGCGUGUUGGUCCGGGCCAUAAACUACAAUUACUACUAUUCGUUGAACGCCUGGCUGCUGCUGUGCCCCUGGUGGCUGUGUUUUGAUUGGUCGAUGGGCUGCAUCCCCCUCAUUGAGUCAGCCGGUGACUGGAGGGUGCUGGCGCUCCUGGCCCUCUGGCUCUGCCUGACCGGCCUGGCCGGCCGAGCCCUGUGCUCAGAGGACAGCCACAAGAGGAGGGUCCUUACUCUGGGCCUGGCACUGCUCGUCGUCCCGUUUCUGCCGGCAAGUAACCUGUUCUUCCGCGUGGGCUUCGUGGUGGCCGAGCGAGUCCUGUACCUCCCCAGCGCCGGCUACUGCGUGCUGCUGACCGUCGGAUUCCAGGCGCUCAGUAAACGCACGAGGAGGAAGAAGCCGCUGGCCGCUGCCCUCCUGGGGGUCCUGCUCGUCAACGCGCUGCGGUGCCUGGUGCGCAGCGGCGAGUGGCGGAGCGAGGAGCAGCUCUUCCGCAGCGCCCUGUCCGUGUGCCCGCUCAAUGCCAAGGUCCACUACAAUGUCGGUAAAAACCUGGCUGAUAAAGGCAAUCAGACGGCCGCCAUCAGAUACUACCGGGAAGCCGUGAGACUAAACCCCAAGUACGUGCACGCCAUGAACAACCUCGGGAACAUCCUAAAGGAAAGGAAUGCACUGCAGGAGGCGGAGCAGCUGCUGUCCUUGGCCGUCAGCAUCCAGCCGGACUUCGCGGCGGCCUGGAUGAACUUAGGCAUCGUACAGAACAGCCUCAAACGGUUCGAGGCCGCGGAGCAAAGCUACCAGACGGCGAUCAAGCACAGGAGGAAAUACCCGGAUUGCUACUACAACCUGGGACGGCUGUAUGCAGAUCUCAACCGUCACGUGGACGCCUUGAACGCCUGGAGAAACGCUACGGUGCUGAGGCCAGAGCACAGCCUGGCCUGGAACAACAUGAUCAUCCUCCUGGACAACACAGGAAAUUUAGCCCAGGCCGAAGCAGUGGGCAGGGAGGCCCUGGCGUUGAUACCGAAUGACCAUUCUCUCAUGUUCUCGCUGGCCAACGUGCUGGGGAAGUCCCAGAAAUACAAGGAAUCUGAAGCUUUAUUCCUCAAAGCAAUUAAAGCCCAUCCAAACGCGGCAAGUUACCACGGUAAUUUGGCUGUGCUGUAUCAUCGAUGGGGACAUCUAGAUUUAGCAAAAAAACACUAUGAAAUUUCGCUGCAGCUGGACCCCACUGCAUCAGGAACGAAAGAGAAUUACAGUCUUCUGAGAAGAAAGCUCGAACAAAUGCAAAAGAAAGAUGUCUGAUCCUGUCUCCUUCGUUUUUAAUUUGCGUGUGUGUGCAUGAAGCAGGUCAUUAACAUUGUGUGGUUGCAUUUAACCACUUAAAAGUCUUACAUGUCAUAUGUUUGAUUGUUUUGUCCUAUAAAAACAAAGACAUGCAAAAAGAUUACACCACCAGCAAUAUUCUCUUGAAUGCGUGAUGUGGUUUUUGCAUUGAAAUUGUAUUUUUUCAGACAACUCAAAAUGUAAAUCCUAAAAUUCCAAGAUUGAAUCUUUUUUAAUUAAAUGAAAAAAGAAAAAAAUCAUUGCGAGCCACUUACAGGAGAAUUAAACUUGCAUUUGGGAUGUGAGCUGUACUGUAGAUGAUGAACAAGGUGUCGGUUAUGAGCAAGAAACGCAGACCUGAUCUCUGCAAUUUAUAUAUAUAUUGAAUGUGUCUGUAUAUUCGGAUUUUUAUUUAAUGACAGUAAAUUAAGAAUUUUUAAAUCUUUUUUUAAAAAUAUAUACUAUGAACUUCAUUUGCAAGCAAAUGAGGCAUUUAUAUUUAUUUGUAGUUUUGCUUUGAACAGAGCAAACCAUUGAAUGAAGAAUGGACAUUUUAGCAUCUGGAGUAGCUUGGUGCUUCCCCCGGGAAAAUCCUCUCCUGCCAUGUGUUCUGGUUCUCGCACUUGGGCAGCUUCACAGCAGAUGAAUUACAUGGCGGGCCGCCUGCCUGUCACUGUGAUGGCAAACUCGCGCCCUGCCGUGGGCAAAGCAGGCAGCCUGAGUCUCUGUGUUAUAUUCGGUGUUCAGAGAGCUACACGUCUAUCUGCUUUUCAGGUUGGAGGAUUUCUUUCAUCUUCUCCAGCGUGCGGCCUCUCUCCGGCUGUAGGGCCCAUUGAACAGGCGUGCCUUGUGGAGAGAGACGGCGAAGAGUUCCCCAUCCUUGGAUUCUCUCUGCUGAGGUCAGGGAGGGCACAGGUCUGCAUGGACUGUAGGCCAGCAAUUCUGACUCGUAUUCAGAAAACCAGAAACAACAGAUGCUGGGGAGGAUGUGGGGACAGGAGUCUCUCCUGCUGCUGGUGGGAGCCAGCCUGGCCCAGCCGCUGGGGAGCCCCUCAGAACGCUGAAGAUGGGUCUGCCACCUGACCAGGGAGUUCCACUGCCAGGGACCUACCCAGAGGACACAGAAGACGCUAAUGCAAAAGAACCUGCACUCCUGUGUUCACUGUAGCGCUAUUUACAAUAACUGAGAUAUGAAAACAACCUAAAAGCCUCAAAACAGAUGAGUGGGUCAAGCAGGUGUGGCGUAUGUUAGCCCUGGGAUACUCGGCGUCAAAAAAGAUAAACUCGAGUAAGAAGGAAAAGGAUAAAUAUUGGUAGUUUCACUUACGUGUGGAAUACAGAGAACAUGAAGAAAAGGUCAAGAAAAAGACAAAACUUGCAAGCUGACCACAGAUCCAGGGCAUCCAGCCGGAAAGAGGGCGGGGCUCACGUGGGAGGGAUGGUGGUGGCCGAGACGUGGCCGCACCCGCGGGAAGACAUCAAAUACUGUCCAGAGAUGAACGGCGAUGUAAGCACACAGAGCAGUUUUAGAACGAAAUAAAAUAAAAUACAAAUAAACCAACAGUCUAACUUACUGUGGC